rnacentral:rRNA from 1 species
UACGAAGGGGGCUAGCGUUGUUCGGAAUUACUGGGCGUAAAGCGCACGUAGGCGGAUCGAUCAGUCAGGGGUGAAAUCCCAGGGCUCAACCCUGGAACUGCCUUUGAUACUGUCGAUCUGGAGUAUGGAAGAGGUGAGUGGAAUUCCGAGUGUAGAGGUGAAAUUCGUAGAUAUUCGCAAGAACACCAGUGGCGAAGGCGGAUCUCUGGGCCUUACCUGACGCUCAGGUGCGAAAGCUAGGGGAGCGAACAGG